rnacentral:rRNA from 1 species
AAUGAACGCUGGCGGCGUGCUUUACACAUGCAAGUCGAGCGAGGCGUGGGGCAGCCCACAGUCGAGCGGCGGACGGGUGAGUAACGCGUGGAUUAUCUACCCUGAGGUGGGGAACAACCAGGGGAAACUCUGGCUAAUACCGCAUGAUACCGAGAGGUCAAAGGGGGCUCGCAAGAGCUCUCGCCACAGGAGGAGUCCGCGUUCGAUUAGCUAGUUGGUAGGGUAAUGGCCUACCAAGGCGACGAUCGAUAGCCGGCCUGAGAGGGUGAUCGGCCACACUGGAACUGAGACACGGGUCCAGACUCCUACGGGAGGCAGCAGUGGGAAUUUUUGCGCAAUGGGCUAACGCCUGACGCAGCAACGCCGCGUGGAGGAUGAAGGUCCUUGGGAUUGUAAACUCCUGUCGACCGGGAAAAAGCAACUCGACCUAAUACGUCGGGAAGUUGAUUGUACCGGUGG